ensembl:misc_RNA
AUGACAGGUGCUGGAGACUGAAGUCCUGUAUUUAGCCAAAGCACAGAUACAGAAUGGACAUAGUGCAAAAGCUUCUCGCAGACUGAUCUACCAGUGCGCCUCAACCCUGACCUGCAGGGGCCAUUUGAAGGUAUGAGAGGAUAGUUCCAUGUUUUAUCCUCUUCCUGAGUGUGCCUCU